rnacentral:rRNA from 1 species
CAGUCGCCGCGGGAAUACGAAGGGUGCAAGCGUUACUCGGAAUUACUGGGCGUAAAGCGUGCGUAGGCGGCUUUUUAAGUCGGAUGUGAAAUCCCUGAGCUUAACUUAGGAAUUGCAUUCGAUACUGGGAAGCUAGAGUAUGGGAGAGGAUGGUAGAAUUCCAGGUGUAGCGGUGAAAUGCGUAGAGAUCUGGAGGAAUACCGAUGGCGAAGGCAGCCAUCUGGCCUAAUACUGACGCUGAGGUACGAAAGCAUGGGGAGCAAACAGGAUUAGAUACCCGAGUAGUCCCUGUCUCUUAUAC